CCUGUGAUGAAAUAACUGAGCUCGGCAUUGAGACCCACAUCAGCGUCGGUGCAGUUGAGGCGGACCACUUUGAAAUCACGAGACAGAGCCUUCUUUGCAGUGGCACCUCCCUUGUGAAACUCCCUGACUAGGGUCAUCCGCUAAGAAUAAUUCUCUGAAGACCACCUUUUUCCUGCAGGUGAAACAGAAGUACAAGCAGUUGGAGCCCUGUCAAGACUGAUGGGGCACUCAGGGAGCGAAGUUUGUUCAUGGAUGGGGGAGAGAGGGGGAGCUCAAAGGCCAGUUAAGGAAACCUCCUAUAUAUUGAUUUGUCUGCUGAGAAAAACUACCUGCUCAUCUUUCACGGAACCUUAGUGGGUCACAUAGGAUUCUGUGCUACGCUUUAAGGGACACGCUUUGUUCAUGCCAGCAUUAACCAGACAUAUUGGAACUUUACCAUUUCCGAUCACGAAAGGAGCGUAUACCCCUCUCCAUUAAGGAACUCUGUUAAGUUUCUAAGAAAUUCUGAGGUUCCCUAUACAGCGGUACCUCGGUCUACGAACAGCCCUGCUAACGAACUAUUUGGUGUACGAACUCCACAAAACCGCAAGUAGGUGUUCCGGUUAACGAACUUUGCCUCGGAAGAUGUACGGAAGCCGAACAGUGGAAGGGCACUGCAAGGGCAGGAGGCCUCAGUAGGGAAAGCGUGCCUCGGUUUAAGAACGCUUUGGUUUAAGAAUGGACUUCCGGAACGAAUUAAGUUCGUAAACCGAGGUACCACUGUAAGAUAAGUUUGAAAACCACUGUACUAAAUAAGGUGUAUGCCAUCUGCUGACCUAUGUUAUUACUGGUUAUAAGCCUGCUCUUGUAUUCCAGUUGAAAUCCUGAUGCCCAAACUCCCCAGUGAAGGACUGGGAAUGGUUGCAGAUGAAGCAAAAGAGGGUUAAACGGCCAGUUCAUGAUUGAUGUCGCUUGCAAUUUUGCUUUAUUGCAAACUGUUUUAUCGCUAACCUUACAGAGGCUACGCCUUUAAUUGCAAUAAAUAAAUAAUCAUCGCUAACA